UACGGAGGGUGCAAGCGUUAAUCGGAAUUACUGGGCGUAAAGCGUACGCAGGUGGCUGUGUCAGUCGGAUGUGAAAGCCCUGGGCUUAACCUGGGAACUGCAUUCGAUACUGCACGGCUAGAGGAUGGGAGAGGGAAGUGGAAUUCCCGGUGUAGCGGUGAAAUGCGUAGAUAUCGUGUGGAACGCCAAUGGUGAAGACAGGUUGCUGGGAGUGUGCUGACGCUGAGACACGAAAGCCAGGGGAGCAAACGGG
rnacentral:rRNA from 1 species